UACGUAGGGGGCAAGCGUUGUCCGGAUUCAUUGGGCGUAAAGAGCGUGUAGGCGGCCAGGUAGGUCGGUUGUGAAAACUGGAGGCUCAACCUUCAGAGGUCGACCGAAACCAUCUGGCUAGAGUCCGGGAGAGGAGAGUGGAAUUCCUGGUGUAGCAGUGAAAUGCGUAGAUAUCAGGAGGAAUACCGAGUGGCGAAAGGCAGGUCUCUGGCGUGAACACGUGACGUCAUGCACGAAGACGUGGGGAGCAAACAGG
rnacentral:rRNA from 1 species